AAGAAAGUGGCCGAAUCUAAGGUGUUAGUCUCUUAAAUUAAUUAUGAAGAAAUUAGUUUA
rnacentral:tRNA from 1 species